rnacentral:rRNA from 1 species
CCUACGGGAGGCAGCAGUAGGGAAUAUUUCACAAUGGGCGAAAGCCUGAUGGAGCAACGCCGCGUGCAGGAUGAAGGCCUUCGGGUUGUAAACUGCUUUUAUAAGCGAGAAAUAUGAUGGUAACUUAUGAAUAAGGAUCGGCUAACUACGUGCCAGCAGCCGCGGUCAUACGUAGGAUCCGAGCAUUAUCCGGAGUGACUGGGUGUAAAGAGUUGCUUAGGUGGCAUAGUAAGUAGCUAGUGAAAUCGGGUGGGUCAACCAUUCAGACUAUUAGCUAAACUGCUAAGCUCGAGAGCGUGAGGGGUAACUGGAAUUUCUAGUGUAGGAGUGAAAGCCGUAGAUAUUAGGAGGAACACCGAUAGCGUAGGCAGGUUACUGGGACGGAUCUGACGCUAAGGCACGAAAGCGUAGGGAGCAAACGGGAUUAGAUACCCGUGUAGUC